GACGAACGCUGGCGGCGUGGAUUAGGCAUGCAAGUCGGACGGUAGAGCUUUAUCGUAAGAUAGAGUUUGAGAGUGGCGAACGGGUGAGUAACACGUAGGAAUCUACCCUUAAGACGGGGACAACCCAGGGAAACUUGGGCUAAUACCGGAUGAGAGUGCGAGAGAUUGCAUUUAAAAAGGAUGGCGAAAGUUGUCGCUUAGGGAUGAGCCUGCGGUCUAUUAGUUAGUUGGUGAGGUAAGAGCUCACCAAGGCGAUGAUAGAUAGGCGGCCUUAACGGGUGGUCGCCCACACUGGGAUUGAGAUACGGCCCAGACUCCUACGGGAGGCAGCAGUCGAGAAUAGUCUACAAUGGCCGGAAGGCUGAUAGUGCGACGCCGCGUGAACGAGGGAAGCCCCUUCGGGGUGUAAAGGUUCUUUCUAUACGAGCAGUGCUAUAUAUAUGGAUAGUAAUAUAAUUAGAGGGAGUAAGUUAAGGUAUUAGGAAAGUUAAAGACAAACGGGCUAAACUCCGUGGCCCAAGCC
rnacentral:rRNA from 1 species